rnacentral:misc_RNA from 1 species
AGCAGUUGAAGAACCCAUGCGGCUGCAUUUACAAACCUCGGCAAAUUCAGAUUGACAAAAGUAAAGGGCAUAAAGAAACAACCAUCAAGGGAAUAUACUCCUACUCCUAUACAUAAGCCGGAAGUUUCAGUGCCAGAUCAAAUUAUUUAUUUCUCAAAUGAUAGUCAGAUACAUAACCACAUGACACUACAACUGUUCUUAUAUAGCUAACCAAUGUCAUUAAUAAAUCAAGCAAGUACAUCAG